GCCCCCGUGGGGUAGCUUGGAUAUCCUUGGGGGCUGCGGACUCCCAGACCCGGGUUCGAAUCCCGGCGGGGGCA
rfam:Archaeoglobus profundus DSM 5631, complete genome.